rnacentral:rRNA from 1 species
CCUCGGGAGGCAGCAGUGGGGAAUAUUGCACAAUGGGGGAAACCCUGAUGCAGCAACGCCGCGUGGGUGAAGAAGGCUCUUGGGUCGUAAAGCCCUUUAGCUUGGAAAGAAGCGGGUAGGUUCAAACAGGGCCUAUCUGUGACGGUACCAAGACAAUAAGCACCGGCUAAUUUCGUGCCAGCAGCCGCGGUAAUACGAAAGGUGCAAGCGUUGUUCGGAAUUACUGGGCGUAAAGCGCACGUAGGCGGGACUAUAGGUCAAUUGUGAAAGCCCAGGGCUCAACCUUGGAAUUGCAGUUGAAACCAUAGUUCUUGAAUACCUGAGAGGGUGGGAGAAUUCCUGGUGGAGAAGUGAAAUUCGUAGAGAUCAGGAGGAAUACCAGAGGCGAAGGCGCCUGCCUGGCAGUGUAUUGACGCUGAUGUGCGAAAGCGUGGGGAGCAAACAGGAUUAGAUACCCUGGUAGUCCACGCCGUAAACGAUGGAUACUAGGCGUUCGAUGGAUUAACCCAUUGAGUGCCGCAGUUCACACAUUAAGUAUCCCGCCUGGGGAGUACGGUCGCAAGGCUAAAACUCAAAUGAAUUGACGG